rnacentral:rRNA from 1 species
UACGUAGGUGGCGAGCGUUAUCCGGAAUUACUGGGCGUAAAGCGCACGCAGGCGGUCUUUUAAGUUUGACGUGAAAGCUCCCGGCUUAACUGGGAGAGGUCGUUGAAGACUGGAAGACUUGAGGCAAUGAGAGGGGUGUAGAAUUCCCGGUGUAGUGGUGGAAUGCGUAGAUAUCGGGGGGAAUACCAGUGGCGAAAGCGGCACCCUAGCGUUAGCCUGACGCUCAUGUGCGAAAGCGUGGGGAGCGAACGGG